rnacentral:rRNA from 1 species
GACGAACGCUGGCGGCGUGCCUAAUACAUGCAAGUAGAACGCACAGUUUAUACCGUAGCUUGCUACUCCAUAGACUGUGAGUUGCGAACGGGUGAGUAACGCGUAGGUAACCUGCCUGGUAGCGGGGGAUAACUAUUGGAAACGAUAGCUAAUACCGCAUAAUAUUGAUUAUUGCAUGAUAAUUGAUUGAAAGAUGCUAUUGCAUCACUACCAGAUGGACCUGCGUUGUAUUAGCUAGUAGGUGAGGUAACGGCUCACCUAGGCGACGAUACAUAGCCGACCUGAGAGGGUGAUCGGCCACACUGGGACUGAGACACGGCCCAGACUCCUACGGGAGGCAGCAGUAGGGAAUCUUCGGCAAUGGACGAAAGUCUGACCGAGCAACGCCGCGGGAGUGAAGAAGGUUUUCGGAUCGUAAAGAUCUGUUGUAAGAGAAGAACGGGUGUGAGAGUGGAAAGUUCACACUGUGACGGUAUCUUACCAGAAAGGGACGGCUAACUACGUG